CUCAUUGGUGUAUUUAUUUUAUUCAUGUGAUUUGAUUGGUUGAUUGAAAUGUAUCUUCUUGAAUCCUAAGCAACCUGCCUACACAUAGUUUGAAGUAGAAACACCAACAUAGAUACUGUAGUGGGUCAAAGCUGUGAGCUGGAAAACCUUGGUGGAGCAUGGGUGCAAUACCAACGUCUGUUCUCCCUUAAAACAUGGGUGCAAUACCAACGUCUGUUCUCCCUUAAAACAUGGGUGCAAUACCAACGUCUGUUCUCCCUUAAAACAUGGGUGCAAUACCAACGUCUGUUCUCCCUUAAAACAUGGGUGUAAUAAUGUGUGGACCUCAGACAUUUGCUCGUUGUUCCAUAGUUUUCUCGUCUUCUGAAACAAGUCCCAGCUACCUACCAGCUCUUAUUCAUCAAUGUAUCAGAUUAAAGAACCUUUCAUAUAAAAUACUUUCAUCAUCUUAAAAAUGGUUAAAUAUAUGUUUAAUUAACUAGGGCAAGUCAGUUAAGAACAAAUUCUUAUUUACAGUGACGACCUACCGGGGGAACAGUGAGUUAACUGCUUUGUUCAGGGGGCAGAACAACAAGAUGUUUCAGCUCUUGUCAGCUCGGGGCCACUUCGGCUAGUCCAACGCUCUAACCACUAGGCUACCUGCCAACCCCAACGUAUAAUAUAGUAUCAGCUUUCAUAUAAAACACGAUCAUCAAUAUCAACAUAUAAUAUAGUUUUAUAGUCGUUGUUCCGGAAGCUUCUUAUAGUACCAGCGUUGAUAUAUAAAUGUCUAAAUAUGGUCGUCGUACGGUUAGUCACAUGUUAGUCGUUGUUCCGGAAGCUUCUUAUAGUACCAGCGUUGAUAUAUAAAUGUCUAAAUAUGGUCGUCGUACGGUUAGUCACAUGUUAGUCGUUGUUCCGGAAGCUUUCGUAUUUAUUUACCUUUCCCGUAGCGGAAACAGGUAACUGCCAGAAUAACGGAAACACGUGGAGUUGACGAGGGAUACGGAGUAUAUUGAAAGCAGGUGCUUCCACACAGGUGUGGUUCCUGAGUCCAUUAUUAAGCUAUCAACAGCCCCAUAUCUCCUGAGGAUCAUGUGUCGGCAUGCUGGGCGGGCCAUUAUCUGCGUUACCAUGGCUACGCCCCCCAUCCACCAGAUCUCAACCCCCCCAAACGGAACACUUAUGGGAGAUUCUGGAGCGAUCCAGACACUUGCAGAAUCUAUACCAAGGAGCACCGAAGCUGUUCUGAGGGGCCUGUAACGGACCAACCAAGGAGCACCGAAGCUGUUCUGAGGGGCCUGUAACGGACCAACCAAGGAGCACCGAAGCUGUUCUGAGGGGCCUGUAACGGACCAACCAAGGAGCACCGAAGCUGUUCUGAGGGGCCUGUAACGGACCAACCAAGGAGCACCGAAGCUGUUCUGAGGGGCCUGUAACGGACCGACCAAGGAGCAUCGAAGCUGUUCUGAGGGGCCUGUAACGGACCGACCAAGGAGCACCGAAGCUGUUCUGAGGGGCCUGUAACGGACCAACCAAGGAGCACCGAAGCUGUUCUGAGGGGCCUGUAACGGACCAACCAAGGAGCACCGAAGCUGUUCUGAGGGGCCUGUAACGGCCCAACCAAGGAGCACCGAAGCUGUUCUGAGGGGCCUGUAACGGACCAACCAAGGAGCACCGAAGCUGUUCUGAGGGGCCUGUAACGGACCAACCAAGGAGCAUCGAAGCUGUUCUGGCUCCUGGUCGUCCAACGUCCUGUUAAAAACACUUGAUGUUGGUGUUUCCUUUAUUCAGUUACCUGCAUCUUCAAUACUCUAAUAUAUAAUCACAUAAUCAUAUUUAAAACACAACGCUUUUAUCCACAUUUUACAUACAGGUGGUCCCGUCUGGGUGCAUCCCAUAGGACACCCUAUUCCCUACAUAGCGCACUACUUUAGACCACUAGGUAGGGAAUAGGGGGACAUUUUGACAACUAGGUAGGGAAUAGGGGGCCAGUUUGACCACUAGGUAGGGAAUAGGGGGCCAGUUUGACCACUAGGUAGGGAAUAGAGGGCCAGUUUGACCACUAGGUAGGGAAUAGGGAUCCAUUUUAACCACUAGGUAGGGAAUAGGGGGCCAGUUUGACCACUAGGUAGGGAAUAGGGGGCCAGUUUGACCACUAGGUAGGGAAUAGGGGGCCAGUUUGACCACUAGGUAGGGAAUAGGGGGCCAUUUUGACCACUAGGUAGGGAAUAGGGGGCCAGUUUGACCACUAGGUAGGGAAUAGGGGCCAGUUUGACCACUAGGUAGGGAAUAGGGGGCCAGUUUGACCACUAGGUAGGGAAUAGGGGGCCAGUUUGACCACUAGGUAGGGAAUAGGGGGCCAGUUUGACCGCUAGGUAGGGAAUAGGGGGCCAGUUUGACCGCUAGGUAGGGAAUAGGGGGCCAUUUUGACCACUAGGUAGGGAAUAGGGGGCCAGUUUGACCACUAGGUAGGGAAUAGGGGGCAUUUUGCAAGUAGCCUAUAUCUCUGUAAAUACAUUCCAUGUAGCUCUCAUUCAAUCAAUCUCCACCUGUCAUACAGUCACAAAUUAACUAUUUAGUCUAGCUCUAACCUGAGAGAGAGAGAGAGAGAGAGAGAGAGAGAGAGAGAGAGAGAGAGAGAGAGAGAGAGAGAGAGAGAGAGAGAGAGAGAGAGAGAGAGAGAGGAGAGAGAGAGAGAGAGACAGAGAGAGAAGGAGAGAGAGAGGGAGAGAGGAGGAGAGAGAGAGGGAGAGAGAGAGACAGAAAGAGUCAAAUAGAGAGUAGUUCUAGUAAUUAUAAGUUAAAGUGACAGAGUUCCUAAUCUGUCAGUUAGUUAGUUAGUUAUAGUAACCACAGUCGUAUAUCUAGCCAUAUAUUUAACAACAUGUUUCUCUAUAUAUGUGUCUGGUAGUAACCAUGGAGACAGGAGAAGUGUCUGGACUAAAACAGGACCUGACAGAAGCUGUACAAUAAGGAAGAAACAGACAAAACAUCAGAUAAAGGUCGAAGGUUAAAAGGCGACCUCGUUAGAUCUAGUGCUACUCAAACUUCGUGUUUUAAAUGGUCAAGAAAAGGUGAAAGUUCCUCCCGGGUGUUCCAGGAGAAAGGAAGGGACGUCACCUGCAGUGACGGGAGGCUGUCGCUGGGUGAAAGGUCAAAGGUGAUUAAAGGUGACAUGGUUAAAGGUCGACUAAUGGCAGAUAUAGUGUUCAGUGCCGGAGGUUCUGAUGAUGUCACACACAUAUCGUCUCCUAACAGACACACAGUACGGAAAAGGUCAACCGCUCACAGUUUCCACCAAUGGGUGGGUGAGGGAGGGAGAAGGUGGGGGGUCCGAUUGCAUAUCAUUCCGUACCAUGAUGUCACACUCUGACAUCAGGGGGGAGGGGCUACGGCUCCUCAGGGGGGAGGGGCUACAGCACAGCAG
ensembl:lncRNA